rnacentral:rRNA from 1 species
AGAGUUUGAUCAUGGCUCAGAACGAACGCUGGCGGCGUGGAUAAGACAUGCAAGUCGAGCGAGAUUUUUCGUUGUAGCAAUACGAUGGAAAGUCUAGCGGCGAACGGGUGCUUAACACGUGGGCAACCUGCCAUGAAGUGGGGGAUAGCUCGCCGAAAGGGAAUUAAUACCGCAUGUGAUUAGAGAGGACAUCCUUUCGAAAUUAAAGUCGGGGCAACCUGACGCUUCUUGUGGGGCCCGCGGCCUAUCAGCUAGUUGGUGAGGUAACGGCUCACCAAGGCUUUGACGGGUAGCUGGUCUGAGAGGACGACCAGCCACACUGGGACUGAGACACGGCCCAGACACCUACGGGUGGCAGCAGUCGAGAAUUUUUGACAAUGGGGGAAACCCUGAUCGAGCGACGCCGCGUGGAGGAUGAAGGUCUUCGGAUUGUAAACUCCUGUCAUUUGGGAACAAGGCGCGUGUAUUAACUGUGCACGCGUUGAUAGUACCAGAAGAGGAAGGGACGGCUAACUCUGUGCCAGCAGCCGCGGUAAUACAGAGGUCUCAAGCGUUGUUCGGAUUCAUUGGGCGUAGAGGGUGCGUAGGCGGCGCGGUAAGUCGGGUGUGAAAUCUCGGAGCUUAACUUCGAAACUGCAUUCGAUACUGCCGUGCUUGAGGACUGGAGAGGAGACUGGAAUUUACGGUGUAGCGGUGAAAUGCGUAGAUAUCGUAAGGAAGACCAGUGGCGAAGGCGGGUCUCUGGACAGUUCCUGACGCUGAGGCACGAAGGCCAGGGGAGCAACGGGAUUAGAUACCCNNGUAGUCC